rnacentral:rRNA from 1 species
AUACGGAGGAUCCGAGCGUUAUCCGGAUUUAUUGGGUUUAAAGGGUGCGCAGGCGGCCAUUUAAGUCAGCGGUUAAAUCGUGGGGCUCAACCCCAUUCUGCCGUUGAUACUGGGUGGCUUGAUUGCGGUCGAGGUUGGCGGAAUUCGUUGUGUAGCGGUGAAAUGCAUAGAUAUGACGAAGCACACCGAUUGCGUAGGCAGCUGACCAGACCGCAAAUGACGCUCAUGCACGAAAGUGCGGGGAUCGAACAGGAUUAGAUACCCUGGUAGUCCGCACAGUAAACGAUGAAUACUUGUUUUCGGCGAUAUAAUGUCGGAGGCAAAGCGAAAGCGAUAAGUAUUCCACCUGGGGAGUACGCCGGCAACGGUGAA